GUGGGGAAUAUUGGGCAAUGGGGGAAACCCUGACCCAGCAACGCCGCGUGAAGGAAGAAGGUUUUCGGAUCGUAAACUUCUAUCCUUGGUGAAGAUAAUGACGGUAGCCAAGAAGGAAGCCCCGGCUAACUACGUGCCAGCAGCCGCGGCAAUACGUAGGGGGCAAGCGUUGUACGGAAUGAUUGGGCGUAAAGGGCGCGUAGGCGGCCUGGUAAGUCUGGAGUGAAAGUCCUGCUUUUAAGGUGGGAAUUGCUUUGGAUACUGUCGGGCUUGAGUGCAGGAGAGGUAAGCGGAAUUCCCGUUGUAGCAGUGAAAUGCGUAGAGAUCGGGAGGAACACCAGUGGCGAAGGCGGCUUACUGGACUGUAACUGACGCUGAGGCGCGAAAGUGUGGGGAGCAAACAGGAUUAGAAACCCCUGUAGUCC
rnacentral:rRNA from 1 species